rnacentral:rRNA from 1 species
CUCAAAUGAAUUGACGGGGGCCCGCACAAGCGGUGGAGCAUGUGGUUUAAUUCGAUGAUACGCGAGGAACCUUACCUGGGCUCAAAUGUAUGUUGACGUAUUCUGAAAGGGAUACUUCUUCGGACAAUAUACAAGGUGCUGCAUGGUUGUCGUCAGCUCGUGCCGUGAGGUGUCGGGUUAAGUCCCAUAACGAGCGCAACCCCUAUCAUUAGUUGCCAUCAGGUCAAGCUGGGGACUCUAAUGAAACUGCCUACGCAAGUAGUGAGGAAGGUGGGGAUGACGUCAAAUCAGCACGGCCCUUACGUCCAGGGCUACACACGUGCUACAAUGGCCGAUACAGAGGGCAGCUACCUGGUGACAGGAUGCAAAUCUCCAAAGUCGGUCUCAGUUCGGAUCGGAGUCUGCAACCCGACUCCGUGAAGUUGGAAUCGCUAGUAAUCGCGCAUCAGCCAUGGCGCGGUGAAUACGUUCCCGGGCCUU